UUUGUACGCUGGCGGCAUGCCUUACACAUGCAAGUCGGACGGCAGCACGGGGGCAACCCUGGUGGCGAGUGGCGAACGGGUGAGUAAUACAUCGGAACGUACCCAGGAGUGGGGGAUAACGUAGCGAAAGUUACGCUAAUACCGCAUAAACUGUGAGCAGAAAAGCAGGGGAUCGCAAGACCUUGCGCUUUUGGAGCGGCCGAUGUCGGAUUAGCUAGUUGGCGGGGUAAAAGCCCACCAAGGCGACGAUCCGUAGCGGGUCUGAGAGGACGAUCCGCCACACUGGGACUGAGACACGGCCCAGACUCCUACGGGAGGCAGCAGUGGGGAAUUUUGGACAAUGGGCGCAAGCCUGAUCCAGCCAUGCCGCGUGAGUGAAGAAGGCCUUCGGGUUGUAAAGCUCUUUCGGUGGGGAAGAAAUUGCACUUUUGAAUAGAAAGUGUAGAUGACGGUACCCGCACAAGAAGCACCGGCUAACUACGCGCCAGCAGCCGCGGUAAUACGUAGGGUGCGAGCGUUAAUCGGAAUUACUGGGCGUAAAGCGUGCGCAGGUGGUUAUAUAAGUCAGAUGUGAAAUCCCCGGGCUCAACCUGGGAAUGGCAUUUGAGACUGUAUGACUAGAGGAUGGCAGAGGGGGGUAGAAUUCCACGUGUAGCAGUGAAAUGCGUAGAGAUGUGGAGGAAUACCGAUGGCGAAGGCAGCCCCCUGGGCCAUAACUGACACUCAUGCACGAAAGCGUGGGGAGCAAACAGGAUUAGAUACCCUGGUAGUCCACGCCCUAAACGAUGUCAACUGGAUGUUGGGAGGGUUAAACCUCUUAGUGUCGUAGCUAACGCGAGAAGUUGACCGCCUGGGGAGUACGGCCGCAAGGCUAAAACUCAAAGGAAUUGACGGGGACCCGCACAAGCGGUGGAUGAUGUGGAUUAAUUCGAUGCAACGCGAAAACCUUACCUACCCUUGACAUGUCCGGAAUCCCUGAGAGAUUGGGGAGUGCUCGAAAGAGAACCGGAACACAGUGCUGCAUGCUGUCGUCAGCUCGUGUCGUGAGAUGUUGGGUUAAGUCCCGCAC
rnacentral:rRNA from 1 species